AGGAACGAGGUCCCGGCCACAGGAUCGAUUGUGCGUACGAGUGAGGCCUCCUGCCCUCGAGCGCCCCACGACUCGCACAGCAGGUCGUGAGACGCCACCCUCCAUCCCCUCGCCCCAGAUCCAUCCCUUCGCCACCGCCAGUUCGUCCCUUCGCCGCCCGCCGUUCCAUCCCUCCGCCGCCGAUCCAUCCCUUCGCCGUCGCCCCGCACAUCGAAGCCGCCGCCCUCCAUCGGACGAACGAGCCCGCCUCAAACGCCGAUGAGAAUAAUGCUCCCCUCGAUCUAUUCGCUGUGUUGAGGGGAACCACGCCCCAGCCGCCAUUGCGGAUCUCUUCGACGCCGCUGAGGCCCUACGGGAGCCACCGACGCCUUCAUUGCGGUGCUCUAGGUCGCCGCCGUCGUGGUCCACAAUCCCCGCCGCCGAGGUCCGUAGUCGCCGCCGUCGAGGUCCGAGAGGUGUCGCCGCCACCUUCAUUCCGGACCUGGAGGUCUGCGCCAAUCCCCAGGCCAGGGCGGUUCGUACCCCAGUCCCCAGGGCAAGGCGGUUCAAACCCCAGUCAGAGAGAGCUAGCCAUUAACCAUGGUACAUACAUCUGUUAAGAUCCCGUGCGUGGCUACGGGUAUAAUGAAUGCAACGGGCACAGCGGUUCCAUGCUGGAUCAUGGUGAUGAUGCAGUCGACUCAGCGGGGGAUAGGAGGCUCGCCGGCUGGCGUUUCAUUGAUGCAUGGGUGUUCCAAUCAUGAUGGUACUGUCGGAUAAUGUACAAGACUUUUUUAGAACAAUGUACAAGACUUUGGACGAGGUUCAUCUGCGUCGAUGUUUGUGGCUGGGUCGCUGGGUACACAAUCCAUUCACCGUGUAAGGUUCAGUCAACUCCUUUGAGGUGCUUAACAAGUAACGGAGGUUUUGGUGUCAUCUGUACUCAGGGAAAGGGUGUGAAGACUAUACAUGUCAAAUCCUCAUACGAAAUGUUGAUCUGUUGUGCUUCUAGAAUUAUGGAUUUCCGAAUAAUUAAAUGACCAGUUAUGCAAUACAAUAUUCCCAUAGUAUUGAAAUCUUCUAUUCUGCAAAGUGUCCUUCAGAAAAUGGCACUUGCACUUAAUAUGGGACACUCCAAAUCCAUAUGUGCAGGCUAUAUCUGAUAUUUUCUCCAUACAGAGUCAGCAGCGACUUGAUUUAUAUUUCCGCUACUUGUCAAUACGAUGGCCCGUUGGAAAUAAAUGAGGUUUGGCCAUCACUUAUACUUGGGAACUACUUUUCAGUGAUAGCUGUGUUGACUAAGAGAACUACGGCGGGCUUACGCUUACCUGAAGUAUAUUCAAAACUAUCAGAGUGUACAACAGAUUAGAGCAGAUUACAUCAGCCUUAAAGACUGUUGGCCAUUAACGGUUAUCUAUGGCACUAAAACUUGUUGAUCUCAACACAUUCACCUCACAACACUUGUUGGCUAAAACAUGUGCAUUUAGCGCCAAAGAAGUUGAGGAAUUAAUGAGGUGAUAGGAGUUGUGUGCUGAGGAGAAACUAUUCUCUUGCAAAUUGGAUAGUUGUUGUAGGAAUUAAAAAGGCACAUGAUUGUAUUGUUGUUGUGGGAUUUCGUUUCUACACGUUCCUCGACCCUAAUGUCUACAUGAGGUGUGAGUUCAACGGAUCGUGGAAAUUACAUUACUAAUAGAAAGAUGCCGCAGCAAAAAGAAUGCUCUCAGCCUUGGACGAUUCAUUCACUCGAUUCUUGAAACCAUUACCUUUUCUGAAGUAAGUCUAGCUAGCACGCAAGGUGCCCUCGCAGGUGAAGGUUGCAUGUCUUCUGCUGGGUGUUUUGAUACUUUUCAGUCUCUACUUGAAUGUUGCGUACCUAAUUUCUUAGUGGCCAACAAUCAUGCACUGAUUCUUGCUAGGGGUCCUCGAGGAAACUCAAUAGAUGGCUACAGAUGUUGCUAGGGGUCCUCGAGGAAACCCAAUAGAUGGUUUUUUCCUGAAGGUAUUAAGAUUACCAAGAUUUGGUCAGCUGUUACACCAUCAUAUUUCGGCACCUGAGUUUUGGUAUGUGCCAUGCAUAUAUUUUGGCAGCAAAUGGGCGGGUGCCUGGGUUCUCAAUGUCCUUCCUAAAUGGAAAUCAUAUACAUACAUAUAUGUUUGAUGUCUUGAUAUAAGUGAAAAUAGUUCAUGAUACCAGCCUAAGACUCUUAGUUUCUGUUUCUUUGCUAUCUGACCUUUGCAUUUCCUAGGUAAGCACUGUGUGAGAUCAUACAUUGAUCAUGGUUCUUGAUAGUUGUGUACUUUUCUUGGAUCUUUAGAAGAAUGUUAUCUUGAGAAAAAAAAAGAGAAAUCAGCUGUAUGUAACUUCUGGAAUUUAGUAUGCUGGUGGCAUUCUAAUGUUUAAUAUAUAUCAGGCAUCAUAUGCCAUGUGAAAAGUCAUGUUAAUAUCAUGAUGGGUCGCAUGCAAGUGCAUGUAGCAGCUCAUCUUAUUUUGUUAGAGAUAAUUUGCAUGGUGAUUACCAUAAUGGUGUCAGAUGAACAAAAUACUUAGUGUGACCAUGUUAAAAACUUAAAAUGAUGGUCUAGGUGAAAACUUGCUAUAAAGAUGGGUAGCAUGUCUUUUAAUCAUUUCUGAGGCAUUUCAUGUCUUAACGGGAAAUUGUUUUUCAAGUUCUCCAUUGGUGCGGCGGGGCUUAGAGGGAUGGCCAGGCGGCGGCCAGCAACAGCAGUGGGCGGAGGUCGAGGGGAAGGUGUGGCAGCGAGGCGGCGCGCGAAAGUUUGCAGUACAUUACACAAUUUUGUUUGCUAUUCAGUAACUAAUGCUAAAGUUUAUUCCUACAGCUUCUACAUGAACAACUCCCUGUUUACUAAAGGCAAAAACUCAUCCUUGAGCCAGCUUACUCCUGCAAAUGUGGGCCAACACACAAUUCACUUCAUGCCUUGUUCAUAACAUCAUAUUUCUCAACCUAAUGGCAUCUGCCAAUGAUCUCAAAAGCCGAUGUGUUCAACUUGUGUUUUUGUCGUGUGUUCAUGUAAUGUCAUUUUUGUAGGCUAAUUUCACUUUCGAUGAUCUCACGAUAAAGCGACCAUAGAACGAGAAGGUGAGCUAAAAAUCAUCUUGUUGUUUAUUGUUGCAAAAUUUCCUGUAUGUGUAUCUAUAGCAUAAAAAAGAAAGCGACCAUGAUUAUAAUGUCCUACUAAUGUGCUUAUUGAAUUGAUGAAAUAACUCGAAUGUAUUUCUUUAUACUAAUCUAAUUACUUGGAUUGUUUUUUCCUUCGUUUUAUCUUUACCAUUAAAGUUUGUUUUCUAUCUUUUCUGAUUCAUAAGUUACGUUCAUGCCAAUGGAGAUGGUGAAUACACUCCUAUGGUUGGAUGUAAAACCUGUCGAACAGAUGGCCAAACCCAUUUCCGAAGCAGGCCCAAAAAAAACAUUAUCACUUGUUUUGGAAGCUGCCUAAAGAAAAAACAGCACCGCAGAAACAUAUAUGACUUAAAGCCAAAGGUAACAAUAAAAAUCCUUCUCUGGUUCAUUAAUUGGUUCGCCUAAUCAAAUUGUUGAUUAUGCAACUGAAACCUGCGAGGAAUUAUUAUAAACAUGAUUUGGAUGCAUCAUAUUGGAAGUGGAAUAGGGGCAGGGACGUUGAUCCUUCGUAAUGACCACAGGGACUACUGGAAGGCGCUAUGUUUGGCGAGAAUCUGCUAAUCUAUUUCACUAACGCCGUGCGGGCGUUCUUGAAUUCCGAGUAUGCCGCAACUGGAUUUGACAGAUUGAGGGAUGCAGGAGCGGUUCCGAGUAUGCCGCAACUGGAUUUGAUAGGGUGAGGGAUGCAGGAGCGGUCGAUGACGAGGUGGCUCCAUCUAAGGGUGGCCAGUAUGACGUCCGGGAUAUCGCGCACCUAUAGAGGUAAGCAGAUUGUGUAGAACUGCAGCUUGUUAUGUAUAAUGCUGUUUGAUUUAAUCUGAUGCUAUUUUAGACUUAUGCAACCAAAUCUAUCAGAAAGAGUGCAUGAUAAAUAAAGUUUAUAUAAUGGAAGAGGAAAUCCACCCAGCGAGAGCAUGAUGAAGUAGACCACUCUACUUUUUAAACUGGGAACUUCGAUUGGAAAUUGUUACUGAUUAUUGAAGUCGCAUGGUAAGAUAGCUGAAUAGUACUAUUUCAGUACUGGAAGUUUAUGCAAGUUGGUGCACAGUACCGGAAGUGGUGGUAUGAGUGAAAUGAAGCACACUUCUGAUGGGGAGAAAAAACGACUCGUUCGUAAGGAGACAAUUGAUCUCUUCUGAAUCAAGAGAAGUGAACUAUGAAAUCCCUCCUCAUUCCAAACAAUGAAACUAUGAGGCUGAAAGUACAAAUUUCAUACGACAUGACUGACUUAGAGAAAAAAUGGGCGUAUUUGGAGCCGGAUGAAAAUAUGGGCAGAUUUAGAGCAGUGUGAAGACGGCGCACGCUGGUGUUGCAAUGACCAAAAGUGUCGAAGUGAAAGAAGAGAUGGAAUGACAAUGACACAACCUUGUAGUGUGAUUCUUGUAUGUAUGUUUGAGGUCCGUAGGAAAAAAAUGUAUUAGUGAGAUAAAGUGACGGAGAUAUGCAUCUUAGGCGGAGAUGGAAGCAGAGCCCAAAGAUAAACGAAACAUUAUUAGUUUGUGAAUGAACUCGUGGUGGAAAGAAUGUUUUCAUGUUCAUAUGCCACAUUUUCUUACUAUUUCUACUAAGGUAAGGAGCCUUGUAUAUGCCAUAUUUUUAACAUAUGUAGUAGAGCGAGACAACAAAACAAUGACAUAGAAGCCACAUAAAGAAUCAAGGGGCAGUAGAUUGAGAGUAUGGUUGAUGUAUGGACAAAGAGUGCUAGGGAGAAGUUCAACAGAAAAGAGAGGCUAGAUGGGGUGCAUGGCAUUUGUUGGAACAGAGAGAAGAUACUUGCAUUUGUGUUUUGGUUGAACAUUGCGUGCAAUGUGUUCGUUUGGGGAGGGUAACUUGAGCAUUGUUUACAAAUUUAUUCGUUGGCCCGUGGUAACGCACGGACAGUCUACUAGUACUCUCAUUGCAUCGGGAUUGGUGAGAACUAGUGAUUGGGUUCGGGCCGGGUUGGGCCAGGUCGACAAGGGCCGUCGUGCUUCGGCCGCCCAACCCCAGCAACCGGUCAUAGCUCGCAUCCAAAGAUUUCUAAAAAAAAAAGCUCGCAUCCAAAGAGCACCAGGCGACCACGCACCAACCGUUCCCUCUUCCAUCGCACGCCCCAGAUGCGGCAGAGGUAAGAAUUAACUGUUGUAAUGUCUGUUAUAGAGAUCUCAUGUUAAAUCUGUAUGCAUCACUGUAUACAUAUGAAGUGUUAACUUAAGGUACAUGGGCUUUUAUUUUCUAGAGUUUUCACCGUCUAAUGCAAUCAUCUACAUAUUCCUAAAUUGGAAUGUCCUUUACAAUUAUUACCUGCACUUGUUUGAUCUAAUUGUGAGUGGUGUUAUAUAUGUCCUUUUGUGGAGCAGGAAGGUAUGGUUGCUUGAUAAAUUGGUAGAUAGCGCAAUGUCAUUGAAGUUUUAGAGUAAUGAUUAACACUUAACAAACUAACUUGUCCUGUAAAUUAGCUGUGAGUUACAGAUUUAUUAUACAAAUUAGUAGCUAGGCAUUGAUCUUAGUUGUUUUGUGUAUAUUAUUAUAAUCUGUGCCUUGUUUCUUCUGCUCUCUCUAGAAAAUUUUGUUAACACUAUAUUAAUGGUUUAGUUUGAUAUUUCAGGGCUCUAUAAAUAUCUUGAUGGCUACUCUGGUAAAGAGACAGACAAAAUCAAUAAGAUUCUCGUUAAGACUGUACUGUGUGUUGACGACAAAAUUGCUGAAAUCUUGGCGGCGGGGUGGUACUGCCCUCCGCGUCCCAAUGUUUUUGAUGAUCUUCCGAGGUUAAAUUGAUGGUUCUCUUCUUGAAUGCUGUUAAAGAAUGAUAAUCCAAAGUAUUUCUAGUUACCAUCUUUGUUACUGGUCCUCUUCCUCGAAUGCUGUUAAAGAAUGAUAAUCCAAAGUCUUUCUAGUUGCUAUCUUUGUUGCUGGUCCUCUUCCUCGAAUGCUGUUAAAGAAUGAUAAUCCAAAGUAUUUCUAGUUAGUAUCUUUGUUACUGACGCUGCUACUACAGAAUAUUGCUCAGAAGUCUUGCUGAUGCUGCUUGUAUGGAAUGCCACCGUGUAGAUGCUGCUCGUAUGGAAUGCCACCGUGUAGAAGCUGCUCGUAUGGAAUGCCGCUGUGUAGAUGCUGGUCGUAUGGAAUGCCGCCGUGUAGAUGCUGCUGCAGAAUCAUACUUGUGAAAUCGUUGUGAAUAUUAUGAUGUUACUGGACAAAUAUUGUUUAGGUUCUUACUGCUACCGCUUGAACAGCUUAUUGUCAGCUUGAGCACAUUGCUGUAUUACAUUGUUUUCGGUGAAACAUGUGGGGUGGUAUGCUACCUCGUCAUUAGUUUUAUUGAUAUGCCACUUGCAUUUUGUAGUUCAAUAACAGCAAUGGAAAUUUCAUGAAAUCUACUUUUGUGA